CCUACGGGGGGCAGCAGUGGGGAAUAUUGGACAAUGGGGGCAACCCUGAUCCAGCCAUGCCGCGUGUGUGAAGAAGGCCCUCGGGUUGUAAAGCACUUUCAGUGAGGAAGAACGCCUGGUGGUUAAUACCCAUCAGGAAAGACAUCACUCACAGAAGAAGCACCGGCUAACUCCGUGCCAGCAGCCGCGGUAAUACGGAGGGUGCGAGCGUGAAUCGGAAUUACUGGGCGUAAAGCGCGCGUAGGUGGCUUGAUAAGCCGGUUGUGAAAGCCCCGGGCUCAACCUGGGAACGGCAUCCGGAACUGUCAAGCUAGAGUGCAGGAGAGGAAGGUAGAAUUCCCGGUGUAGCGGUGAAAUGCGUAGAGAUCGGGAGGAAUACCAGUGGCGAAGGCGGCCUUCUGGACUGACACUGACACUGAGGUGCGAAAGCGUGGGUAGCAAACAGGAUUAGAUACCCCAGUAGUC
rnacentral:rRNA from 1 species